UACGAAGGGUGCAACCGUUGCUCGGAAUUAUUGGGCGUAAAGCGCACGUAGGCGGCUUAGCAAGUCGGAAGUGAAAUCCCUCGGCUCAACCAAGGAAGUGCUUUCGAAACUGCUGAGCUUGAGUACGAAAGAGGAUCGCGGAAUUCCCGGUGUAGAGGUGAAAUUCGUAGAUAUCGGGAGGAACACCAGUGGCGAAGGCGGCGAUCUGGGUCGAUACUGACGCUGAGGUGCGAAAGCGUGGGGAGCAAACAGG
rnacentral:rRNA from 1 species